AAAGUUAAGACCGACUAAGGGGAAAAAAAAAAAAAGAGGAGAACGGCUCAACCAUUGUCUUAAAUCCUUCAGAUCUGUUAAUUUGGCUUUCAGAAUUAACGGAACUGUUCUCGAUUUGUUGUUAAUCCAGAUUCAGAUAUUGUGUUUUUUUUUUAUUGCUUAGAGAUCUUAUUUUCAAAAUCUGUGUGUUCAUGCGAAUCAGGUUAUUUUAAUUUUUUUGUUUGAAAAUUUCGAAAAGAUGAAUCACUUUGCGGUACAACCAAACACGUUCGCAGCUGGUGGAGAUUUGAGAAGCUCUGUUUCAGUUGUUGAAAGAGAUCAACCACCGUCGUUUGCCCAAAACCAUGUCGUAUUGGGCUCUGUAACUACCAUAAUCAUCAUCCUUCUCGAUCUCUCCGCUGCUACUUCAGGAUUGGGCGGAUCUUUUAAGACCACACAACCAAACCACUCGCCACAAGGUCCCAGUGGCUUAAAGAACUCAAGGCUCAACUCGGCUCUCCUCAGUGUAACCAAAGUCACCGAAGGACUGAGGACCACAAGAAGACAGGUCUUGAGUAAGAAUGGGUCUACUCAAGCUGGAGGACAUCGUGACAUUGAGUUCAAGAGAAUCUGCUAAUGAGCUGAAACAGAGUCUGGAGCUGGGAUGUAAUUAUCGUUUAGAGCUUGUCAUUGGCUAUCUCGUGGAACUCACUUUUCUGUGAUUACAUUAAGUUGCAGUUCUUCAAGAAACUACAAGAAAAGAACAAGAAAGAGGAUGUUGUAAAAGAGCAGUUGUCUUGCGACUUCAAGGCAAAUCACAACACUCACUUAGCAUCUGAAGAACACAAGGAGAACACACAAGUUUGUUUUCAGAAGCUACAAAAGGUCUUGAAGAACUAAGGCAUUCACCUCAAGCAAAGAUGAUGAAGUGAUGUUGAGCAAGAACUUAAAAGAGAGAGCUGAAGAGAUUAAAGAAGAGUAGUUGAUGUUUUUGUAUACAUUGAAAAAUAAAAAUUUUAUUUAAAUUAUAAUAAGUUUUGUUUAUAUUUUUUGUCACUUUUUAAUAACAAUGAGUUUCAACAUUAAAUUAGACAUAUUUUCCCAA